ACCCUACCAGAAUACACUUUUUUUUAUUAACUGUCUGGACCUUUGCUGAUUACAUUGUCCGGAAUGUGGAGUAUCGCAUUUGAGAAGAGGAUUGGAUCCUAGCCAUAACAUAAAUAUAAGGGUAAUUACAUCCAUGCUGAGAAAGAUUUAGGAAUGAUAGUAAGUUCAUUUGAGUGAGUGGUUUGGGCCAAACUUGAUAGAGAAUAGUCCAGGAAGACAUUUACUAUAAACAGUAGAUUAAAUGUUCUUGCCUGGUUAAUUACAUUUGAACUCUGUUAAUGACUGAAUCACUCAAACUGCUUAAUUGUAUUAUUAGAUGCACAUUUAAGUUAUGUAUUACAUGUCUUUAGUGGUGAUCAGAAUUUUAUCAGUUCCUCUGUCUUUCUUUAUACCAAGUAUGACUCAUAAACCCAGUAUUAAUUUGCCAAGAGAUUGGCAUACUAUUUGUAUAUAUGCUUUUCUUUCAAAUAAUCUGGAUUCCCAAUGCCCACAAUCAUUGAUCCUAAAGAAAAUGUGAGAGUAGGUAGAUAAACUCAAACAUCCCUACCAUCACCCCUGGUAGGAAAUCACUGGUGUAAUGUAUGAUAUUAACAUCUGCACCAAUUACUCUUAUAGGUGGAACAAUCCAAAGUUUUAAUCAGAGAAGGUGGUGUUCAGUUGCUGCUUACAAUAGUUGAUACCCCAGUAUUUGGAGAUGCAGUGGAUAACAGUAAUUGGUAAAAAGGAUUUGUCCUCACAACUUUCCAGUGUAUUUGGGGUACUGGGGUGGUUAAACUUUCUCUUCUUAACAUUUUAAAACUCUUCUUAGCAAAGGUCACCAAACUUCAAGUAACAUGACAGGUUUGUAUACCAACUUUGCCACUUAUUUGACAAAGUUUAACUUCAAAGUUAAACAAAGAAGUUUAACUUCUUUGAACCCAUUUACUUUUUGAUAAAAUGGAGAUAAUACCUAUCAUAAAAUUGUUUUGAAGACAUAUUCCAAAAUAACGUAGCUAGAUAGAAGAAUUCUCAUUAUUGGAAGAAAUUUAAAAUGCUUUGCUUUAAUUUUAUCCAUUUGUAUAAAUUCUAUCACAAUCCUAAUUUAAACCUGAUAUUUAGACCUUCAGUUUUUCCAUAAGUCCUAAGUGAAGAAAACAACUAUGAAAUUUUAGUCUGAAGUAAUUAUCUUAGUAUUUUAUAAAUAACUUUAAUUUUGUUUGAAUUCACAUUGUUUUUGAGGUAUUUUUCUGUCAACUCUUAAAACUCCUAAGUUCAUCAUGAAGUUUUUAUAUUAUUUAAGUAAUCUCUCAUUUGAAAUUUGAAACUGAAUAUAAUCGUUUUCAUAUUAUGAAGUGUGUUAUUAAUACACUUACUAGUGCCAAUAGUAUGCUAAUAAUUUAGCUGUGUUUCAACAAUAAAUAUUUUCUUUCAUUUGGAAAGUUUUGAAAUAAUGAAUAAAGAUUUAUUCAACACAAUUUAUAUUUUUGAAUCUUUAUAUAGAAUAACUUGACAUAUCUUCCAUUGGUUAAUUCAUUUUGCCUAUUUGAAAAUAUUGAUUAUUGUCCUUUAACAGUCAUCAGUUAAUUCAUAUGUAGAAUUGCAACUUAAUUGUUUUGUUUAUUUGCAUUCUAUAGCUGGCAGCCUGCUAUCAAUUACAUUGAUAGUAAAUUUGAGGACUACCUAAAUGCAGAAUCGCAAGUGAACAGAUGUCAGAUGCCUGGUAACAGGGUGCAGUGUUGUUUAUACUUCAUUGCUCCUUCAGGACAUGGCUCUGUUCACGGAAAGGGCCUGGGAGCUGCAACACCUCAACAGCAACGAGCACACCUGCUACCUAGAACUUGGUUUCUAAAAACCAUCCUCCUCUAAAAGGAAACAGAGCUCUUUGAAGAAAUGAGACAGAUCUCAUUAUGUUGCCCAGGGUGAUCCUUGAUCUCCUGGCCUCAAGUGAUCCUCCAACCUUGGUCUCCCAAAGUGCUGGGAUUACAGAUGUGAACUACCACACCCAGUCAACGUGCAGAAGGUUUUCAGUUUGAUGUAGUCUGAUGUAGUCUCAUGUAUUUAUCCUUGUUGUUGUUGCCUGAGCUUUUGGUGUGAUAUCCAAAAAUAUCAUUGCCAAGAUCAAUAUCAAGAAACUUUCCCCCUAUGUUUCUUACAGAAAUUUUAUGGUUUCAGAUUUUUCAUCUAUUUUGAGUAUAUUUUUGUGUAUGAUGUAAGAUAAGGGUCCAGUCUCCCCAGUGUUGGAUAUCCAAUUUUCAUAACACCAUUUAUUGAAGAGAUUAUUCUUUCUCCACUGUGUUUUCUUGAUGUCCUUGUCAAAAAUUAGUUGACUUUUAUAUGCUUGGGUUUAUUUCUGGGCUCUAUUCUGUUUCAUUGCUUUACAUCUCUGUUUUCAUGCCAGUGCCACAGUGUUUUGAUUACUAUAGCUUUGUAAUAUAAUUUGAAAUCAGAAUGUGUAAUACCUAUAACUUUGUUUUUUGCUCUAAAGAUUUAUUUAUUUAUUUAUUUAUUUUUGCCAUUUCAGGUCUUUUGUGGUUUCAUAUGAAUUUCAGAAUUGUUUUUCCUAUUUCUGUGAAAAAUGCCAUUGACAUUUUGAUAGGGAUUGUGUUGAAUCUAUAUAUUGCUUUGGAUAGUAUGGAUGUUUUAACACUAUUAAUUCUCCCAAUCCAUGAACAUGAAAUAUCUUUCCAUUC
rnacentral:lncRNA from 10 species